GGAGUGCUAGUCCAAAAAAGACAGUUGAUUUCGACUCAACUAAUUGUGGUUUAAACCCAUGGCACCCCU
rnacentral:tRNA from 1 species